AGGACAAGGGACAAGCCCAUGCGCGAAGGGGAGUGCGCUAUUGGACUGGGGGGUGUAAACGACUUCGUGUGGGCCUGAGGUGCGGAAAUAGUGAAUCGAUUAAGGAGAAACGCGCUUAUUCAAAGAAGCUUCAACGCGUGACUCGUUCUCCUCUUCAUCGUCAUCGUCGCGCAUCACCGUCGUGUUCUCCAUAAUCAUCACUGUGCUCGCAUCGCCGUCGCAGUCCUAGAAAGAAGAAGCUGAAUCCGAUGAUGCGCAUCCUCUUUCACUUGCGUUCGUUGCCUAGGACGACUCAAGGAUUCAUAUCGCUUUCCACGUUCUGCAAUCGCGCCUCGCAAACCUCGACUCACGGUUUCGUAUUCGAAGAUUCGAUUUAUGAAAAACAGAGAUAUGGAAGAUGAAUAAGAGUGCUUACCGAUUUGGACAGCUAUCGCGCGUUUUCCCGUUUGAUUCCCGAUUGAUCUCUUCUUCUUCUUCUUCGGUUCGAUGCUUUGCGGAUUAUAGCGGUUCUAAGAGUUGCGAACUGUUGCGAAAAGGAUCGGCGUUUGUUCCGUUGCGUCGUUACGGUUGUUGCCGGUGGAUUGCGAUUUGCAGAACUCUUCACAAGUCCUUCUGUUGCGGUUAUGCGGAACCGAGAUUACCGUGAGGUUAUGAGAGGAUGAAGGUGAGAAUGGAGAGCUCGAGAGUGAGUGCGUGGGAAGGUGGAGAGAAGAGAAAGAUGAUGAAUGUGGCAAUGGAAGAAAGUGAAGAGAGAAAAAGAAAAACCCCUUCUGAACGGUGAAGUUAUAUGGAAAAGAUGGAAUGAGGUUGAUGAAAUCACUAUUAAAUUGAUACGCAGCUUGCGUUCGCACUUGGAUAAGUUCUUGUUGUGCAUUUCGUGUUCUGCAACUGUUGGCUUUGGUUAUGGACUGCUGCGUUUCCACGCUCUUGUUUGCACUCCACCUGCUUUUUACUGCGUCAUGGUAGCAGCUUUGUCGUUUGGAUUUCGUUAGCACUUAUCUUUAUGCCGGCGUAUGCUGCGUUUUGGCUUCCACGUUUUGGUAGCAGCAGGUUUGUGAAGCUUGGCUUUUCCACGCUGGCGUUGCCGUUUUACUGUCAUGGCUUGUAGCCGUUGGAAGUGUUGUUUGGUUGUGGCUUCAAUCUUGCCGUUCGUUUUGUACUGUCGGCUACUGCACCUGCGUUUUAUGCUCACUUUCACUGCUAGCUUAUACUUGCAUUUACAUUCCCAAUUGUUAUGGAUUAUUCUGUCAUGACUUGGAUACUAAGUGGACAUUUAGUCAUAAGAAAUGGUGUUGGAUUAAAUGA